rnacentral:rRNA from 1 species
ACGCUGGCGGCGUGCCUAAUACAUGCAAGUUGAGCGCUGAAGGUUGGUACUUGUACCAACUGGAUGAGCAGCGAACGGGUGAGUAACGCGUGGGGAAUCUGCCUUUGAGCGGGGGACAACAUUUGGAAACGAAUGCUAAUACCGCAUAAAAACUUUAAACACAAGUUUUAAGUUUGAAAGAUGCAAUUGCAUCACUCAAAGAUGAUCCCGCGUUGUAUUAGCUAGUUGGUGAGGUAAAGGCUCACCAAGGCGAUGAUACAUAGCCGACCUGAGAGGGUGAUCGGCCACAUUGGGACUGAGACACGGCCCAAACUCCUACGGGAGGCAGCAGUAGGGAAUCUUCGGCAAUGGACGAAAGUCUGACCGAGCAACGCCGCGUGAGUGAAGAAGGUUUUCGGAUCGUAAAACUCUGUUGGUAGAGAAGAACGUUGGUGAGAGUGGAAAGCUCAUCAAGUGACGGUAACUACCCAGAAAGGGACGGCUAACUACGUGCCAGCAGCCGCGGUAAUACGUAGGUCCCGAGCGUUGUCCGGAUUUAUUGGGCGUAAAGCGAGCGCAGGUGGUUUAUUAAGUCUGGUGUAAAGGCAGUGGCUCAACCAUUGUAUGCAUUGGAAACUGGUAGACUUGAGUGCAGGAGAGGAGAGUGGAAUUCCAUGUGUAGCGGUGAAAUGCGUAGAUAUAUGGAGGAACACCGGUGGCGAAAGCGGCUCUCUGGCCUGUAACUGACACUGAGGCUCGAAAGCGUGGGGAGCAAAC